rnacentral:rRNA from 1 species
UACGUAGGGGGCUAGCGUUGUCCGGAUUUAUUGGGCGUAAAGAGCGUGUAGGCGGCCAGGUAGGUCUGCUGUGAAAACUCGAGGCUCAACCUCGAGACGUCGGCGGAAACCAUCUGGCUAGAGUCCGGAAGAGGAGAGUGGAAUUCCUGGUGUAGCGGUGAAAUGCGCAGAUAUCAGGAAGAACACCCGUGGCGAAGGCGGCUCUCUGGGACGGUACUGACGCUGAGACGCGAAAAGCGUGGGGGAGCGAACAG